CCUACGGGAGGCAGCAGUGGGGGAUAUUGCACAAUGGGGGGAACCCUGAUGCAGCGACGCCGCGUGGGUGAAGAAGCGCCUCGGCGCGUAAAGCCCUGUCAGCAGGGAAGAAAAUGACGGUACCUGAAGAAGAAGCCCCGGCUAACUACGUGCCAGCAGCCGCGGUAAUACGUAGGGGGCAAGCGUUAUCCGGAUUUACUGGGUGUAAAGGGGGCGCAGACGGCGAUGCAAGCCAGGAGUGAAAGCCCGGGGGCCAACCCCGGGACUGGUCUUGGAACUGCGUGGCUGGAGUGCAGGAGGGGCAGGCGGAAUUCCUGGUGUAGCGGUGAAAUGCGUAGAUAUCAGGAGGAACACCGGUGGCGAAGGCGGCCUGCUGGACUGCAACUGACGUUGAGGCCCGAAAGCGUGGGGAGCAAACAGGAUUAGAUACCCCGGUAGUC
rnacentral:rRNA from 1 species